rnacentral:rRNA from 1 species
AUUGAACGCUGGCGGCGUGCUUAACACAUGCAAGUCGAUCGGUAACGCGGGGGCAACCCUGGCGACGAGAGGCGGACGGGUGAGGAACGCUUGGGAAUCUGCCCUUCAGCGGGGGACAACACGGGGAAACUCGUGCUAAUACCGCAUACGCUCCACGGAGGAAAGCCGGGGACCGCAAGGACUGGCACUGAAGGAUGAGCCCAAGUCGGAUUAGCUAGUUGGCGGGGUAACGGCCCACCAAGGCGACGAUCCGUAGCUGGUCUGAGAGGACGAUCAGCCACACUGGGACUGAGAAACGGCCCAGACUCCUACGGGAGGCAGCAGUGGGGAAUAUUGGACAAUGGGGGAAACCCUGAUCCAGCGACGCCGCGUGGGUGAAGAAGGCCUGCGGGUUGUAAAGCCCUUUCGGUAGGGACGAAAGCUCUCGACCUAACACGUCGGGAGGUUGACUUAACCUACAAAAGAAGCACCGGCUAACUCUGUGCCAGCCGCCGCAGUAACAC